rnacentral:rRNA from 1 species
AUUGAACGCUGGCGGCAGGCCUAACACAUGCAAGUCGAGCGGAUGAAGGGAGCUUGCUCCUGGAUUCAGCGGCGGACGGGUGAGUAAUGCCUAGGAAUCUGCCUGGUAGUGGGGGAUAACGUCCGGAAACGGGCGCUAAUACCGCAUACGUCCUGAGGGAGAAAGUGGGGGAUCUUCGGACCUCACGCUAUCAGAUGAGCCUAGGUCGGAUUAGCUAGUUGGUGGGGUAAAGGCCUACCAAGGCGACGAUCCGUAACUGGUCUGAGAGGAUGAUCAGGCACACUGGAACUGAGACGCGGUCCUGACUCCUACGGGAGGCAGCAGUGGGGAAUAUUGGACAAUGGGCGAAAGCCUGAUCCAGCCAUGCCGCGUGUGUGAAGAAGGUCUUCGGAUUGUAAAGCACUUUAAGUUGGGAGGAAGGGCAGUAAGUUAAUACCUUGCUGUUUUGACGUUACCAACAGAAUAAGCACCGGCUAACUUCGUG